rnacentral:rRNA from 1 species
CACGUAGGGUGCGAGCGUUGUCCGGAAUUAUUGGGCGUAAAGAGCUCGUAGGCGGUCCGUCACGUCGGAUGUGAAAUUCCAGGGCUCAACCCUGGACCUGCAUUCGAUACGGGCGGACUAGAGUUCGGUAGGGGAGACUGGAAUUCCUGGUGUAGCGGUGAAAUGCGCAGAUAUCAGGAGGAACACCGGUGGCGAAGGCGGGUCUCUGGGCCGAUACUGACGCUGAGGAGCGAAAGCGUGGGGAGCAAACAGG